UUCAACGAGCGAACAAACUGCUUAACGAGCAAGUCACCAUCAGUGCCCGCAUUGUUGCAAGUUUCCACGAAGUGUGCAAUAUGUUGCUUUGGGUUGCCCUUGCCAUCAAAUUGUUGGAAUUUUGGAGGUUGAUAUCCUACAGGCAUCUUCAAACCUUCCACUCUAGCAGUGUAAGGUUUAGUAUAACCGCUAUAUGACUUGACACUUCCACCAAUCUUGUCCUUGAUUGUGCCUUCGAUAAAUUCCUUCAAAUUAUCAACAUGAAUGGUGCCAUCAGGGGAGAUUGAAAAUUCCUUCGCGACUUGUGACUUCGCAUCCUCUUUUUCC
rnacentral:lncRNA from 1 species